rnacentral:rRNA from 1 species
CAGUUUUGGCGGAGCCAUCCUUGGGAUACCACCCUUGUAGUACUGGGACUCUAACCAUAGGCCAUGAAUCUGGUCUUGGGACACUGUCAGGUGGGCAGUUUGACUGGGGCGGUCGCCUCCCAAAAGGUAACGGAGGCGCUCAAAGGUUCUCUCAGUACGGUCGGAAAUCGUACGUAGAGUGUAAAGGCAAAAGAGAGCUUGAUUGCAAGACAUACAGGUCGAGCAAGGAUGAAAAUCGGACUUAGUGAUCCGGUGGUUCUGCGUGGAAGGGCCAUCGCUCAACGGAUAAAAGCUACCCUGGGGAUAACAGGCUUAUCUCCCCCAAGAGUCCACAUCGACGGGGAGGUUUGGCCCCUCGAUGUCGGCUCAUCACAUCCUGGGGCGGUAGUAGGCCCACAGGUUGGGGCGGUCGGCCAACAAAGGGGGUAGCGUGGCUGGG